rnacentral:rRNA from 1 species
GCAGUGGGGAAUUUGGGACAAUGGGGGGGAGUCUUAUCCACCAAUGGCGAGCGCGGGAAGAAGGCCUUCCGGUUGUAAAGAGAUUUUGUUCGGAUUGAAAAGCUUUUUUGUAGUACGAGGGGAAAGUGACGGUACCACAAGAAAAAGCCCCGGCUAACUACGUCCCAGCAGCCGCGGUAAUACGUAGGGUGCGAGCGUUAUUCGGAAUUACUGGGCGUAAAGCGUGUGCAGGCGGUUAUACAAGUCAGAUGUGAAAUCCCCGGGCUCAACCGGGGAAGUGCCUUUGAGACUGCAGGGCUAGAGCGCGGGAGAGGGGGGUAGAAUUCCGCGUGUAGCAGUGAAAUGCGUAGAUAUGGGGAGGAACCCCGGUGGAGAAGGCAUCUCCCUGGGCUCCCCCUGACGCUGAGGCGAGAAAGCGUGGGGAGCAAACA